rnacentral:rRNA from 1 species
CCUACGGGUGGCAGCAGUGAGGAAUAUUGGUCAAUGGGCGCGAGCCUGAACCAGCCAAGUCGCGUGAGGGAAGACGGUCCUAUGGAUUGUAAACCUCUUUUGUCGGGGAGCAAAAGACGCCACGCGUGGCGUUCCGAGAGUACCAGAAGAAAAAGCAUCGGCUAACUCCGUGCCAGCAGCCGCGGUAAUACGGAGGAUGCGAGCGUUAUCCGGAUUUAUUGGGUUUAAAGGGUGCGCAGGCGGAAGAUGAAGUCAGCGUUAAAAUUGAGGGGCUCAACCUCUUCCAGCCGUUGAAACUGGUUUUCUUGAGUGAGCGAGAGGUAUGCGGAAUGCGUGGUGUAGCGGUGAAAUGCAUAGAUAUCACGCAGAACACCGAUUGCGAAGGCAGCAUGCCGGCGCUCAACUGACGCUCAUGCACGAAAGUGUGGGUAUCGAACAGGAUUAGAUACCCCGGUAGUC